rnacentral:tRNA from 1 species
GGGGGAUUAGCUCAAUCGGCAGAGCAGGCCGCUCAUAACGGCCCGGUUCCGGGUUCAAGUCCCCGAUCCCCCACCA